UACGUAGGAGACGAGCGUUGUCCGGAAUCACUGGGCGUAAAGCGCGUGUAGGCGGAUGAGCAAGUCUGCUGUGAAAGCUCCUGGCUUAACCGGGAGUGGUCGGUGGAAACUGCUCGUCUGGAGGACGGUAGAGGCUGGUGGAAUUCCCGGUGUAGUGGUGAAAUGCGUAGAGAUCGGGAGGAACACCUGUGGCGAAGGCGGCCGCUGGGCCGGACCUGGACGCUGAGACGCGAAAGGCGUGGGGAGCGAACGGGG
rnacentral:rRNA from 1 species